CCUGCGGGUGGCUGCAGUGGGGAAUAUUGGACAAUGGGCGAAAGCCUGAUCCAGCCAUGCCGCGUGUGUGAAGAAGGCCUUCGGGUUGUAAAGCACUUUCAGUGGGGAAGAAAGCCUUGGGGCUAAUACCCUCGAGGAAGGACAUCACCCACAGAAGAAGCACCGGCUAACUCCGUGCCAGCAGCCGCGGUAAUACGGAGGGUGCGAGCGUUAAUCGGAAUUACUGGGCGUAAAGCGCGCGUAGGCGGUCUGAUAAGCCGGUUGUGAAAGCCCCGGGCUCAACCUGGGAACGGCAUCCGGAACGGUCAGGCUAGAGUGCAGGAGAGGAAGGUAGAAUUCCCGGUGUAGCGGUGAAAUGCGUAGAGAUCGGGAGGAAUACCAGUGGCGAAGGCGGCCUUCUGGACUGACACUGACGCUGAGGUGCGAAAGCGUGGGUAGCAAACAGGAUUAGAUACCCUAGUAGUC
rnacentral:rRNA from 1 species